CAGAGGGUUUUCAGGCCUGGUCAGUUCUCACAUUAAGCUGUAUCUUCCAGUUCUGCCUUCACCUAUGACAGGGAUAGUAUUUUGGACUCCUGUUUGCCUUAUACAUCCCUUAUUUUUCAACUGGUUCAGAACUCAGGGAAAAGGGCACUAAUUGGGCAUCUUUGGAUUCCCACAUCUCCAGCAGGGAGCUAUUGAAUGAUUGAAGCAUUGCAUAGAGUGCUGCUCUAUUAUGUAGGUACUCUUUCCAGUGAUUGAUUUUACUCUUAGUCAAAAGGCAGUACUAUAGGGAGAGAGACUUUAGAUUCCAAAUUCCAAAUGUUUGCAAAUGAGCAUUUGAAUCUGGUGAAUUUGAAGAUGACACCCACUAGAGAAACUUUCCUUCCCACUCAACAAACAAGCUAAUAGACCUCUGCUUGUGGCUCAAAUGCUUUGCUCAGCCCAAUUCUCCCUGUGGCAGAGGUUUCUAGCCAGAAAUAGAAUAGUAUUUUCUGUGAAGUACACACAGUCCUAGAUAUUUUGUAGCUUAAUUCUGUCCUGACUGUUGAGGAAUGCUUUAAUGACUUUGGAAGUCUCUAUGGAGAUAAACCAUAUUUUAAAGAAAUAAGCUUUUGAAAGAUAAGUCACAAUUGUAUGGCACUAUCAAUAUGCCAUAAAUACAUGGUGUGAUAAGUUGAUUCUUUGGGUGUAGGGAUUUAGGUAGAAGCAUCUUCUAUAGUUCCUUGAAAGAUAGAAUGAAUUCUGGUUAAGAUAAGUUGAUGUUGGAAACAAGCCUCACAAAGAAUUUAAAUCUAAAUCAGGUAUGUCUGUCCUAGCCUGAAAACAGCUUCUUUGUGCAUUAUUAGGCCUCAGUUGAUGAUUACAUUUAACUAUAUGCUGAACAGGAACUUAUUUUUUAAGUUUUUUAUUCUAAUUCCAGUAUAAAUAGCAUAGUGCUUAUUAGUUUCAGGUGUGCAAUAUAGUGAUUCCACAAUUCUAUAUAUUACUCCAGAAUCAUGGUAAGUGUGCUUAUUUUCUCUAUAAAAUGUAUUUUUCUCAAAUUUUUAUUUAAAUUCUAGUUAGUUAACAUAUAGUAUAAUAUUGGUUUUGGGAGUAGAAUUUAGUGAUACUUCUAUACAACACUCAGUGCUCAUCACAAUAAGUGUCCUCCUUAAUACUCCUCACUCAUUUAGCCCAUCCCCUACAACCUCCCCCCAUCAACCUGUUUGCUGUCUAUCAUUAAGUUCCUUAUGAUUUGCUUUUCUCUUUUUUUCUCUUUUCCUAUGUCCAUCGAUUUUGUUUCUUAAAUUGCACAUAUGAGUAGAAUCAUAUGGUAUUUGUCUUUCUCUGACUGACUUAUUUCACUUAGCAUAAUUCUCUCUACCUCCAUCCUCAUUAUUGCAAAUGGCAAGGUUUCAUUUGUUUUGAUGGCACUCACACACACAUAAAUACCGCAUCUUUAUCCAUUCAUCAGUCAGUGAACAUUUGGGCUUUUUCUGUAGUUUGACUAUUGUUGAUAAUGCUGCUGUAAAUACUGGGUGUGCAUAUACCCCUUCAAAUCUGUAGUCUUGUAUCCUUUGGGUAAAUAACUAGUAGUGCAAUUGCUGGGUCAUAGGGUGGUUGUAUUUGUAACUUUUUGAGGAGGUUCCACACUAUUUUCCAGAGUGGUUGCACCAGUUUGCAUUCUCACCAGCAGGGUUAGAGGGUUCCUCUUUCUCAACAUCCUUGCCAACAUCUGUUGUUUCCUGUGCUGUUAAUUUUAGCUAUUCUGACAGGUGUGAGGUGGUAUUAACAAGUGUACUCUUUAAUCCGUAUCAUUUAUUUCACAUAUCCGCUCCCCCCAACCUCCCCUCUGGUAACAUCAGUUUGUUCUCUACAGUUAAGAGUCUGCUUCUUGGUUUGUCUCUUUUUUCCCCCUUUGCUUGUUUGUUUUGUUUCUUAAAUUCCACAUAUGGGUGAAAUCAUAUGGCAUUUGUCUUUCUCUGAGUUAUUUCACUUAGCAUCAUACUUUCUAGCUCUACCCAUGUCAUUGCAAAUGGCAAGAUUUCAUUCUUUAUGGCUGAAUAAUGCUCCAUUGUAUGUAUGUGUGUAUAUACCUAUAUAUAUCUAUCUACCUGUCUGUCUAUACAUCCAUCUAUCAAUGGACACUCAGGUUGCUUCCAUAAUUUGCCUUUUGUAAAUAAUGCUAUAGUAAACAUAGGGAUGCAUAUAGCCUUUCAAAUUAGUGUUUUUGUAUUAUUUGGGUAAAUAUCCAGCAAUGUGAUUACUGGAUCUUAGGGUAGUUCUAUUUUUAAUUUUUUUUUUAGUUUAGAUUUUGUUAGUUAACAUACAAUGUGAUAUUGAUUCCUGGAGAAUUCAGCAAUUCAUCACUUACAUCGAGGAACCUCCAUACUGUUUUCUUUUUUUUGUUUUUUAAAGAUUUUAUUUAUUCAUGACAGACACACACACAGAGAGAGAGAGAGGCAGAGACACAGGCAGAGGGCGAAGCAGGCCCCCUGCAGGGAGCCUGAUGUGGGACUCGAUCCUGGGUCCCCAGGAUCACACCCCAGGCUGAAGGUAGCGCUAAACUGCUGAGCCACUGGGGCUGCCCACCAUACUGUUUUCCAUAGUGGUGGCACCAGUUUGCAUUCCCACCAACAGUGCAAGAGGAUUCUUUUUUCUCCAAAUCUUUGCCAACACUUAUUGUUUCUUAUGUUUUGAUUUUAGCCAUUCUGACACAUGUGAGGUCAUUGUGAUUUUGGUUUGCAUUUCCCUUAUAAGUGAUGUUGGGCAUCGUUUCAUGUGUCUGUUGGCUAUCUGUAUGUUGUCUUUGGAAGAAUGUCUGUUUAUGUAUUCUGCCCAUUUUUAAUUGGAUUACUUUUUGAGUGUUGUAUCUAUUCUCUCUAUAUUUUCAAUGCUAACUCUUUAUCAGAUAUGUCAUUUGCAAAUAUCUUGUUUCAACAGGAACUUCUUUUCAAAAGUUAGAGCGAGUGUACAAUAUGUGAAUUUAAGCUUGUUAAUCAAACCAUCUUGGUGAUUGAGAGUUCUCAGUGAGUUCAUUUUACUGAAAUUUUUUUCAAGUAAAAGUAAAAUCUUUUUAUGACAAACUGUUGGUUUUCCUUGUAGGUGAAUUUUUUAUUAUAUUUGAAUAUACUGCUAGAAAUCAUAUUGUCUGUCUACAGCAAGUGUAGAUGGAUUAAAUUUGUCUAGGCUUUCUAUAGAGGAUUAAACAAAUUUGAGAAAGUGACAGAAUAGUAAGAGGGAAGAAUCUGUCUCCCUCUGCCUCUCGAAUUCAAUUCGUAAGCCUUGAGAUUUGUCACGUUUGCAUUACAGGGCAUUACUUAGACUUUUCUUCCAUUUUUACCUUUAUUCUCUGAUACUCCUUUCCUUUUCUUAUUAUUAAUGAUGUUUAUUCAUAACUCUGUACCACAUUUUUUCUAGAUUGUGACUCCUUAAGGAAAGGAAUUACAGAAUAAUUGUUGUACUCCCUUGAACAGUGCCUGCACAGGAUAGUACCCAAUUAAUAUUUAUUAACUAAAUGAACUAUUAGUAUAUGAAUACAAAGUAAUUUUGUCUUUUACAUACCUCCUUUGUAAUGUAUUAUUUGUGUUCUGGUUUUAUAUUACAGAAGACUAUUUUGCAUAUAUCCUAAAGCAGAACAACUUUGUCCUGAUGUUUUGUUCUUCUUCAACAAAAGAGAUUUAAUUGCAAAAUAUGUUUCUUUGCAAAGUUCCAGCGAUGAUUCAUUAUUUUUUAUUAUUCCACUGGCAUCUAACUGUACAUGCUCUGUUGCCCAUGCCAUCACUACUAAUGAAGAAGUACUUUAAAAAGUGGGGUGGACCAUGUUUUCUAUUUUGUCAGCCUAACUGGAGACUGGUAGAAGAAAAGUGAUUAGCUAUUUCUUAGAAAUUUACUAGAACUGCUUUUUUCUUUCUUUCUUGUACAUGGUUGUAAAUAUGGAUACAUCUGCUUAUUCUUUAAAGGUUCUGGAUAAGUAUCUUUUGUGCGGAAUAAAACUGGCAUGUCUUAGAAAUGAUUCAGCCUAGUAUUUAUUGAAAGGAUUCAGAUACAUCUAUUGAACAAAUGAAUGGAACAGCAAGCAUAGUAUUGGUCACAACCACAAAGAAAAGUGGUUUAUCAUUCUUAGGAGCUGUGGAAUCUAGAUGUGCAACAAGAAUGACAAAGAUUCAACUCAAGCAUGGACAGAUGUCCAAUCUGGAAAGAGGGACAUACCUAUACCCACUCUACACUCCCUGUACCUACUUUAUUAAGCAUCCUCUAAGAGUUGGUCUGUACCACACCACUUUGAAAAUUCUGUCUUAUAGACUUUUAUUACCAUAAGCUUGAGUAUGAGAAGCCUAAAUGAUAUGAGAAAAGGCUAAGGAGUUUGAGUUAAUAACAAACUAGUUUAUCAAAGGUUUUUAUUUGGUAAAUACAUAUAAUAAUUAUAUAUACAUAUGUAAUUCUCAGAAGAAGUUAUAUGUUUUUUUUGCUUUGCUUCCUUUUUUGUGCCUCCUCGUGCAAACUUCCAGUGGUCUUCCUAGUGUGAGGAAGGUUUAAUAAAGAUGUGGGAAGAAAUAUUUUGACAUUUUAGUAUCUUCCAUUAUUAGUAAAAUGACAUUUUGGUUUGUAAAUAAACUUGGGAUUUCCAACUAUCUGAUUUUUAACUGAGAUACUAUAUUUAAGACUUCUGUUUAGAAAAUAUGUUGAGAAAAUGCCAGAUGUGUAAAUGUCUUUUUCCCCCCUAUUAAGUAUAUUAUUACUAGGUUAUUCUCUGACCUGCAUGCAAGUAUUUCUACUCAUUCUCAAGGUCUGAAAAAUACAUUACAAAGAGGCUGCCACUGAGCUAAGAGCUUUUGAGUCUUAAAAUGCCUCUGGGAUUAAUACAUACCAAGUAGGUGGGCCAUGAAGAGUCAUGCAGAAAUGCUGAAUAGUUUCUUCCUACCUAUGCAUAAUUUGAGGCAUUGCUAUUCUUCACCUAAUGUUUACAUUUCUGCUGUUUCUAAAUGAUCUUUUAGGUAAGGGCUAUUUGGAAACUUAAAACGUUUGACCACUUUAAUCAAUAACUUAAAGAAUUAAUACUAGAAUUCCUUAGAAGAAGAAAUGUAAAAUUUUUUCAGCAUGAAAUUUGCAUUCCCUUUGUGAAAGGCCUGUUUUUUUCCAGUAAAUGUAGUCAAUAAAUUUAUCUCUGAAAGCACAAAUGUGUAUGCAAGAAUCUUCAAACAUCUGGGGAAGUGGUUUCUUUGAAAAAAGCCAAAGUCUAGUGCUUUGAGGUUGGCAAACUAUGAGAAAUCUUUUGAAAUGGAAUAGUUUUUGUUACAGGAAAAAACUUCCCAAAUUUUGUUCUUUGAGUACCCAAUAUCUGUUUUUAAAAUAAAACAUUUUGCAAAUUUGCUAAACUGGUUAAAUCUAUUGCAAUUUCUAUAUUAAAAGCUCUAUAAAGUAAGGAUUACAUACAAUCUAAACUAAUAAAUGGGACAGAUUAAAUGUUAACCCAGAAGAAAGCUUCUUUAGAUCUUAAGAUUGGAGGCAAAUGAGUUUUUGAAAAUUACAUGUUAUGACUUUUAUUAAUUUUUUAGGGAGAAAAAAAUGUGGUCCUCAAUAUGUUUCAUGGAAAUGUGUACAUUGUCAACAGAUUUUUAAGUAAUCUAUAUUUAAUACUUUUAAUAGCCUUUGUACUUAAGUAGCCCUCUUUGCAUUUUCUAAUCACUAACUUUGGAGAACUAAACUCUAAUUAAACAUUUUUGUGGUAGCAAAAAAUUCUUUUUUCUCCCUCCUUAUUCCUCUUGUAUUUCCCUUUCCUCCUUCUUUCCCUUCUUUCUCCUCCCCGCUUUCCUUUGACACAUAAUUUCUACAUCUAUCAUUUGUUAGGUACGGGGGAAACAAAGGUGAAUGUCUUCAAGGAACUUACAACUCAGUGAGGAAAAGGUACUAAUUUAAAUAUUCAAAAAUCAAUGUGAUAAACAAUAGUGCAUGAUAAUCAGAGGGACAGGUAGUGAUGAGUAUUAAGGCAAUUCCCAUACGUAGGAGGACACAAUCUGAAACUGGUAUACUUUGAGGGAUGGAAAUAUGUCAGUGACUUGGUGAGGGGCAAGAGGUGUUUGGGAAAAGAGAGCACUCUAUGUAAUCAUUUGAAAACAAGAUAGUGAAUUUGAAGUUGUUCUCUUGAGUUCAAACACAAGUGGUAGAGUAUGGGAGAUUAGUCUGGAUAGGUAGGCAUGGGCUAGAUUUGAAAGGGUCUUUUGCUUAGUAAGGGAUUUAGACUUGAUCCUAUAGUACGGGGAUUAGCAUAUUUUUACCUCCAGUAAGUCAGGUAGUAAAUACUUCAGACUCUGUGGGACAUAAAUCUCUGUGUCAUGAAAGCAGCCAGAGACAAUAUAUGAAUAAGCAUGGUUGUAUUCUAAUAAAACUGUAUUUAUGGUGAUCCCUGGGUGGCUCAGCUGUUU
rnacentral:lncRNA from 1 species